UACAGAGGGUGCAAACGUUGUUCGGAUUUACUGGGCGUAAAGCGCGUGUAGGCGGCUACGUGUGUCGGGCGUGAAAGCCCACGGCUCAACCGUGGAAGUGCACCCGAAACUGCGUAGCUAGAGUCCUGGAGAGGAAGGUGGAAUGCUUGGUGUAGAGGUGAAAUUCGUAGAUAUCAAGCGGAACACCGGUGGCGAAGGCGGCCUUCUGGACAGUGACUGACGCUGAGACGCGAAAGCGUGGGGAGCAAACAGGAUUAGAAACCCCCGUAGUCC
rnacentral:rRNA from 1 species